rnacentral:rRNA from 1 species
GACGAACGCUGGCGGCGUGCUUAACACAUGCAAGUCGAACGGAAAGGCCCUGCUUUUGUGGGGUGCUCGAGUGGCGAACGGGUGAGUAACACGUGAGUAACCUGCCCUUGACUUUGGGAUAACUUCAGGAAACUGGGGCUAAUACCGGAUAGGAGCUCCUGCUGCAUGGUGGGGGUUGGAAAGUUUCGGCGGUUGGGGAUGGACUCGCGGCUUAUCAGCUUGUUGGUGGGGUAGUGGCUUACCAAGGCUUUGAAGGGUAGCCGGCCUGAGAGGGUGACCGGCCACAUUGGGACUGAGAUACGGCCCAGACUCCUACGGGAGGCAGAAGUGGGGAAUAUUGCACAAUGGGCGGAAGCCUGAUGCAGCAACGCCGCGUGCGGGAUGACGGCCUUCGGGUUGUAAACCGCUUUCGCCUGUGACGAAGCGUGAGUGACGGUAAUGGGUAAAGAAGCACCGGCUAACUACGUG